rnacentral:rRNA from 1 species
UGCCUGGCGGCGAUAGCGCGGUGGUCCCACCUGACCCCAUGCCGAACUCAGAAGUGAAACGCCGUAGCGCCGAUGGUAGUGUGGGGCUUCCCCAUGUGAGAGUAGGGAACUGCCAGGCAU